rnacentral:rRNA from 1 species
UACAGAGGUCUCGAGCGUUGUCCGGAUUUAUUGGGUUUAAAGGGUGCGUAGGCGGCCCUGUAAGUCAGUGCUGAAAUAUCCCGGCUUAACCGGGAGGGUGGCAUUGAUACUGCAGGGCUUGAGUACAGAUGAAGUAGGCGGAAUUGACGGUGUAGCGGUGAAAUGCAUAGAUAUCGUCAAGAACACCGAUAGCGAAGGCAGCUUACUAAGCUGUAACUGACGCUGAGGCACGAAAGUGUGGGGAUCAAACAGG